rnacentral:rRNA from 1 species
GUAGGUGGCAAGCGUUGUCCGGAAUUAUCGGGCGUAAAGCGCGCGCAGGCGGUUCUUUAAGUCUGAUGUGAAAGCCCACGGCUCAACCGUGGAGGGUCAUUGGAAACUGGAGAGCUUGAGUACAGAAGAGGAAAGCGGAAUUCCACGUGUAGCGGUGAAAUGCGUAGAGAUGUGGAGGAACACCAGUGGCGAAGGCGGCUUUCUGGUCUGUAACUGACGCUGAGGCGCGAAAGCGUGGGGGAGCAAACAGGAUUAGAUACCCUGGUAGUCCACGCCGUAAACGAUGAGUGCUAAGUGUUAGGGGGUUUCCGCCCCUUAGUGCUGCAGCUAACGCAUUAAGCACUCCGCCUGGGAGUACGGCCGCAAGGCUG